rnacentral:rRNA from 1 species
CCUACGGGAGGCAGCAGUGAGGAAUAUUGGUCAAUGGACGCAAGUCUGAACCAGCCAUGCCGCGUGCAGGAAGACGGCUCUAUGAGUUGUAAACUGCUUUUGUACGAGGGUAAACGCAGAUACGCGUAUCUGUCUGAAAGUAUCGUUAGAAUAAGGAUCGGCUAACUCCGUGCCAGCAGCCGCGGUAAUACGGAGGAUUCAAGCGUUAUCCGGAUUUAUUGGGUUUAAAGGGUGCGUAGGCGGUCGGAUAAGUUAGAGGGGAAAUCCCGAGGCUCAACUUCGGAAUUGCCUCUGAUACUGUUCGGCUAGAGAGUAGUUGCGGUAGGCGGAAUGUAUGGUGUAGCGGUGAAAUGCUUAGAGAUCAUACAGAACACCGAUUGCGAAGGCAGCUUACCAAGCUACUUCUGACGUUGAGGCACGAAAGCGUGGGGAGCAAACAGGAUUAGAUACCCGAGUAGUC